CCCUCUCGCGCAGCUGACGGGGCUCUUUGCUUGUUCGCCGCGCUUUUUCCCGAAAGGGCCCUGGUGACGGGACCAUUCAGGAGCCGGAGCCAUAAAUGAGCGAGUUGGACGCCACAUAAGUACUGAGUUUUGUAAAAGACACAGACUUUGGAGCGCAGCCAAAAUGCCAGGAACAAAAGGCAACAAAUCUGACAAGAAAUCAGCUACCAAGCAACCUCAGAGUCCUAAGGAGCUACCGAAGAAAGCUGAUCAGAAAGGAGAUGAUAACAAAAAGCAAGGAGGACAGCCGAAGGGAGAGAAGCAAUAAUUUCCAGGUAUUAAAGAUGGCUCUGGAGACUCUGCUGGGAUCCUGUCAUCACAAGCAUGGGGGUCCUCGGGGUAGACAAGGCUGAAGAACCGCCCUUGGACCUGCAGACAGGCCAUCGCUACACAACUACGCUCACCUCUUCUCACAAGGGCAGAAAGUGACCCACAUUUCCAUGAUGAUCCACUGUGUAAGCCCUUUCUUCCCACCCUGUUUCCCCUCCCUCAGUCUGCUCUGGAUUGUAGGAAGCUUGGAAAAGGAUGGUCACAAGGUCAAACCCAGCCAAUGCUCUGAGCUUCCCCAGAAACUGAAACCAUCUACCCAAUCGUUCCCUCUCUUCCCACCCAAAGUUCCUUAUUUUGAUCAACUGUAACAGUCCAAACCAUUCUUGUA